GAAAAAUUAGUUUAAUUUAAAACAUUAGCUUGUCAAGCUAAAAAUAUUAGUAAAUAUUUUUCU
rnacentral:tRNA from 1 species